GGACGGACCACUGGUGUAUCUGUUGUCGACCAACGGCAUGGCAGAGUAGCCAAGUCUGGAAGGGAUAAACGCUGAAGGCAUCUAAGCGUGAAGCCCCCCUCAAGAUGAGAUAUCCCUCCUUCGGGAGUAAGACCCCUUGAAGACUACAAGGUAGAUAGGGCAGAGGUGGAAGCAUGGCAACAUGUGGAGCUGACUGUUACUAAUAGGUUGAGGGCUUAAUCUG
rnacentral:rRNA from 1 species